GCUUAUGGCCAUACCACCUUGGGCACGCCCGAUCUCGUCUGAUCUCGGAAGCAAAGCAGGGUCGGGCCUGGUUAGUACUUGGAUGGGUGACCGCCUGGGAAUACCAGGUGCUGUAAGCA
rnacentral:rRNA from 1 species